GAUUGAUUUCAUCAUAACCUCGAUAAGCCCAGGCCCUUGAUGGAGCCUCAUUGCAAAAAACUAAGUUAAGUUCAAAAAUAAUUGUUCGCAAAUGUUCCCUGUUUUAAUUUAAUUUAAUUUUAUUUAUUUGCCGAGAUGUACAUAUAUUUCAAGUUACUGUAAACAACAAAAAUAGCGGUCGUAUAUCAAAACGUUAUCGGUAUGUGUAUCAUCAAAAAUAUCAAGCAUUACCAAGAAUGAUAGAAACAAGAUUGCGCAAUGCGCAUGUUUGCUUUCAGUCAGCUGUUCUUGCUGACGUCACGGUUGACUUAUUAUUCGCCCGCGCCUUUGAAUGUGAAAGAAAUUUGCAGUUUGAAAUGGGUUUAAGUUCGCGGAGUCUAACGAAGUUGCUACCUAGCGCUUUUCUCACGUUAACCAGAUUAACUCCUGCAGAGGCUAAUGAACGGCAGAAAAGGAUGGAGUCUUGUUUAAACCACUGUUUCUUAUCCUAAUUGCAAUAUUUUUCAACGUGUGUCAGUUGAUCUAUUCUGACCCAAUUGAAAAAAAUGAUGACUUGAAGAUUCUCAACAACGACGAGCUUGAAAAUUUGGCAGAGUACAUCUGCCACAAACUUGGUAAAGACAACCCCGAAAUUUGUGCCAAUUCAAAGAACUGUUCGUCUUAUACUUGGGUGGAUCACCUAUCUGAAGGAGGACUCUCAAAACCAUAUGAUGGAGCAUAUGAGAGGCUUGCAAGCAGUAUUUGACGACUUAAAUGGUACUGAUUUGCAUAUGUAUAUGUACAAAUUACGUCCAGAAGCACUUAGAUUUAAGUAAUUUUGUAAAUUGUACCAAAGUAAAAUAAUUGUUUUUCAGAGCUAGAAUGUAUUUUAGGAUUCGUUCCUUAAAUAAAAACUUAAUUGAAAAUACAUAUGUACAGCAAAAAAAGAAAAUUAAAUA